CAGCUUCAACUUCCUCCCAGCUCCUGAAGCUAUUUUAAAGAGCAGCCAAACUUGGAGCCAAGGCCAAGAGUAAUCAGAGAGAAAAGACCCAUCAGCAUCAGUCAUUUCUCAGAUGACAGAGGAAUUCCCAAAAGGGCCAUGUUUUCCCACUUACAAAUUCAUGUGCUUGACAUGAAACUGGCAGCAGUGGUUGGAAUGGAUGAGCAGAGCUAUCUCAGUGUUUAGACAACAGACAGAAGAGGACAACAGAAGUUGGAUAUGAUAGUGGUUAUUCAGUCAGUGGCUCUCUUCUCUAAGGCUUGCCAGUCUGCCAAGGAGCUCCAGUAAAGUCAGACCACAGACAGCAGAUAUGCUGUCCAAAGGAAUCAUAUAUUUCAUCAUCUAGCAGAACACAUUUCAACCUGAGAAGUAUCCUCCCAUGGAUGGGCAACAAAUUGAAUUCUUCUCACUUCAAACUGAUUCUCAUCUUGUAAUAUUAUUUUUUUUUAUAAAAUAUCUCUCUUUGGAAUAAAAGUUGUCCUUUCUGCUUG